UACGGAGGGUGCGAGCGUUAAUCGGAAUUACUGGGCGUAAAGCGUGCGUAGGCGGCCUGUCAAGUCAGAUGUGAAAGCCCCGGGCUCAACCUGGGAACGGCAUUUGAAACUGGCAGGCUCGAGUUGGGCAGAGGGGGGCGGAAUUCCGGGUGUAGCGGUGAAAUGCGUAGAUAUCCGGAGAAACACAAGUGGCGAAGGCGGCCCCCUGGGCCCAAACUGACGCUGAGGCACGAAAGCGUGGGUAGCAAACAGG
rnacentral:rRNA from 1 species